rnacentral:rRNA from 1 species
GUCUGCUAAAGGGGAGGAAGGAAUGGGCAACGGUAGGUCAGCAUGCCCCGAAUUAUCCGGGCUACACGCGGGCUACAAUGGAUGGGACAAUGGGUUUCGACACCGAAAGGUGAAGGUAAAUCUCCUAACCCACCUUAGUUCGGAUUGCGGGCUGCAACUCGCCCGCAUGAAGCUGGAAUCCGUAGUAAUCGCGUCUCAAGAUGGCGCGGUGAAUAUGUCCCUGCUCCUU